rnacentral:rRNA from 1 species
AACGAACGCUGGCGGCAGGCCUAACACAUGCAAGUCGAGCGAGGACUUCGGUCCUAGCGGCGGACGGGUGAGUAAGGCGUGGGAACGUGCCCUUUGCUUCGGAAUAGCCCUGGGAAACUGGGAGUAAUACCGGAUGAGCCCUUUGGGGGAAAGAUUUAUCGGCGAAGGAUCGGCCCGCGUUGGAUUAGGUAGUUGGUGGGGUAAUGGCCUACCAAGCCGACGAUCCAUAGCUGGUUUGAGAGGAUGAUCAGCCACACUGGGACUGAGACACGGCCCAGACUCCUACGGGAGGCAGCAGUGGGGAAUCUUAGACAAUGGGGGAAACCCUGAUCUAGCCAUGCCGCGUGAGCGAUGAAGGCCUUAGGGUUGUAAAGCUCUUUCAGCUGGGAAGAUAAUGACGGUACCAGCAGAAGAAGCCCCGGCUAACUCCGUG